GGCCACCCCUAGUCUAGGGGUAUGAUUCUCGCUUUGGGUGCGAGAGGUCCCGGGUUCAAACCCCGGUGCGGCCC
rnacentral:tRNA from 1 species